UACAUGAUUAUGAGUUUAAGUUUUUUCAUAUUAUUUAAUUAAUUAAUGAAUUUGUGUGGUUUCUUUUUAGGAAAGGGAGAUUUAAUAACAUGUUCUAAGCAAAAGAAUUCAGAGUUAUUUCACGCGGUUCUUGGAGGCUUAGGACAAUUUGGAGUUAUAACAAGAGCAAGAAUUUCUCUUCACCCAGCACCCACAAAGGAUAACAAUGAAGAUUAAGCAAUGAAGAGUAAGCUGACUAUUAUUGUGGUUUUUUGGCUAAGAUAGAGUGCUAUUUAGGAUCUUUACAUGUAUGGUUGACUAAUGAUUUUUAUUAGAAGAUACCUUUAUUGGCCAAGUGAUAUUAUGGUUUUGAUAUGGCUAUGCUUACUUUAAUUUGAGUUGUAUGAAUUUUUACAGUUAAUUUCAUUCUAGUACUUUUGGAUCAAUGUUAUAAAUAUAUUUUGGUUAGAGACAAUUUUUAUUAUAUAAAGAAAUUAUUUAGUAUAAUUA